rnacentral:lncRNA from 1 species
UUUCAAAAACGUUAAAAAUCAAACUCACGGCAUGCUUUCUCUGCUCUAUCUGCCAUUCCAUAUGAAUAUAUGAUUUCUUUGUAAACUCACAGCCACCAGUCAACAAGCAGGCCAUGCCUUCACGUUCGCAUUCACGUCCAAAGAAAACCAUUUCAAAAUCUGCUAAGAAACAAAUGAAGUGUACCAAAGAAUCCAUCUACCAGUCUCCACCUAUCCUUCAUGUCCGAGGUU